rnacentral:rRNA from 1 species
CCUACGGGAGGCAGCAGUGAGGAAUAUUGGUCAAUGGACGAGAGUCUGAACCAGCCAAGUAGCGUGAAGGAUGACUGCCCUAUGGGUUGUAAACUUCUUUUAUAUGGGAAUGAAAUGUUCCACGUGUGGGAUUUUGUAUGUACCAUAUGAAUAAGGAUCGGCUAACUCCGUGCCAGCAGCCGCGGUAAUGCGGAGGAUACGAGCGUUAUCCGGAUUUCUUGGGUUUAAAGGGAGCGUAGGUGGAGUGUUAAGUCAGUUGUGAAAGUUUUAGGCUCAACCGUAAAAUUGCAGUUGAAACUGGCAGUCUUGAGUACAGUAGAGGUGGGCGGAAUUCGUGGUGUAGCGGUGAAAUGCUUAGAUAUCACGAAGAACUCCGAUUGCGAAGGCAGUUCACUGGACUGCAACUGACACUGAGGCUCGAAAGUGUGGGUAUCAAACAGGAUUAGAUACCCGGGUAGUC